GAAAUAUAAGAAUCUGUCUCUUAACUUUAAACUAAAAGAGCUAAGAGCCGGCUCUUAAAUAGGAGAUUUAAGAGCCGGCUCUUAGCUUUUUUUAGUUAAAAGUUAAGAGACAGAUUCUUAUAUUCC
rfam:Brassica napus, WGS project CCCW01000000 data, contig: 36052